GACGACGCUGGCGGCGUGCCUAUACAUGCAAGUCCAGCGGACAGAAGGGAGCUUGCUCCCGGAUGUUAGCGGCGGACGGGUGAGUAACACGUGGGUAACCUGCCUGUAAGACUGGGAUAACUCCGGGAAACCGGAGCUAAUACCGGAUAGUUCCUUGAACCGCAUGGUUCAAGGAUGAAAGACGGUUUCGGCUGUCACUUACAGAUGGACCCGCGGCGCAUUAGCUAGUUGGUGGGGUAAUGGCUCACCAGGGCGACGAUGCGUACCCUCCUGAGAGGGUGAUCGCCCACGGUGGACUGAGACCGGAGACUCCGAGGAGGGGACUCGGCAUUUUCUCCCAUGGGGAAAGCUGACGCAUAACGGCCCGGAGAGAGAGGGUUUAAGAUCAAAGGGUCUGUCGUUGGGAGAAAAGCGCCAAGUUACUGCUCGACCUUGACGGACCGAACCAAAAGCCGUGUUAACUACGUGCAGCAGCCGCGUUAAUAGGUGGUUGGCAGGGUUGUCCCGAAUUAUUGGGCUUAAAGGGCUCCCAAGGAGUUUCUUAAGUGUGAAGGUGAAGGGCCCCGGCCCAACCGGGGUUGGUUUUUUGUAAAUUGGGAAAAUUGGACUGCCAAAGAAGGAGUUUGAAAUUCCCUUUGUUCCGGUAAAAUGGGUAAAAACUUGAAGAAACCCAUGGGCUAAGGGGACUUCUGGGACUGAAAGGGAACCUAAGGAGGUCACCCGGGGGAUUUACAGGUUAAAACCCCUGGAAACCCGCCUUAACUUGGGGUUGGUUUUUUUAGGGUUUUCCCCCUUUAAGGUGAGGUAAAAUUUUCCCCUCCCCCGGGGAAAAUUUCCAAUACAAAAACCCAGGGAUUGGAGGGGGCCCC
rnacentral:rRNA from 1 species